ACUUAGUCUUUUUUACUCUUUAUGACUUAGGUUAAAAGAUUACCAUCAUCAUAAAUCAUCUUAACUUAUCCUGCUUGGGGAGAGAAGCUCAAGUCCUUCCAAGCCCCUUAGAAUAUUCGCCACUGCUUGCCAUGACCACUAGUUGUACCAGUCUCAGGUUGUUUUUUCACCCCGACCAAGUCCAUCCAUUCAGCCAGGCACUCGCCAUGAGUCUCCUUAAUUGUUGCUAGUGUGGCUUCCUUAUAGGGUGUGUGCCUCAAAGCAAAGGAUCUUUAAUUUCCUUGCUAUUGCAAGGAUCAACUCCCUUGAUGAGACGAGGGCCGAACUCGGUCAAUGGCGAAGAGGGUGUCUCCGAUGAGCUCGUACUACGGUGACUCAAUGGACGGUGGCUAACUAUCGAUUCCGUAAAGGCCUACGUUGAAUGCAAGGCUG
rnacentral:lncRNA from 1 species